rnacentral:rRNA from 1 species
UUCCUACGGGACGCAGCAGUGGGGAAUAUUGCACAAUGGGGGAAACCCUGAUGCAGCGACGCCGCGUGAAGGAAGAAGGGUUUCGGCUCGUAAACUUCUAUUAACAGGGACGAAAGAAAUGACGGUACCUGAAUAAGAAGCCCCGGCUAACUACGUGCCAGCAGCCGCGGUAAUACGUAGGGGGCAAGCGUUAUCCGGAAUUACUGGGUGUAAAGGGUGAGUAGGCGGCAUGGUAAGCCAGAUGUGAAAGCCUUGGGCUUAACCCGAGGAUUGCAUUUGGAACUAUCAAGCUAGAGGACAGGAGG